GUUGAUUCAUACUCUUUUCCAUAUGUACUAAAAUUGGAAAAGUAUAGAGAAAGUAGCAUGACUCCUGCUCAAGAAUGAUACAUAAUUUGGUAAAGUGUUCUUUAUUUCU